CCAUACCAUGUGUUCCCUAUUAAGGGUUAACAAGUAUAUAGGGGUGUAUAUAAAAAAUACCCCUUUCUGAUAUUUUUGCCAGAAGCUCAAGGAAGCAAGAUGAAGGGUCAGUGUAGGACCCGUCUAGGGGGGUCUGCCUUGACGUUGGCAGGCGGGCAUUCCCUCCAGUGGCCAUUGGAGUAACUAAAUGACCUCCAUUUGUUUAAAUAUACAUAGGGAAUUAAAAAGAGAGUGCAGGUAACUUUUUCAGUGGUUUUAAUGUGGCUGAUAACCGUAUUUACAGUAGUCACUUCAGACACCUCAAUAGGAAUUGGCACACGCAUAUACAACAUAAACUUACAAAAAGAAAUUAGUGCUGGAGGAGUUUGAGUGGAGGAUACUUGUGAAACUGUAGUGUGGGGUGUGUGUAAGCCCUAGAUUUAGGGCAGCUGAAUAGUAAAAACAUAACUGGAAGAGAGGUAAGCUAAAAUAAUUUUUUUGAUUAGGUCAAGACUAGAGCUGAGUUUAAAGGUGACUGGGG